UGUCCGGGGGGGGCUACCAGAGCAAGGUAUGGUUAUAAGUAAAUGAAACCUCUCAGCAGGGAGAGCCAGGAAACGGAAAAGUUCCUUUGGAAGCGGAGCAGAGCUUCAGGCAGCAGUGCUGCGCCUCCUGGAUCACCAUCAGAACCUGAACGACUUCCUCCUGGAGGUGCAAGAUUCAGUCAAGCCAGCUGGAAAGGAUGGCUCAGAACACCAGGAAGCACCAUCAGAAUCAUUUUUAGUCUCUGUUCUGCAGGAACAGGCCUCAAGGUUGGGUGUACCCACAGCAAUACUGGCAGCCAAAAAUGUGGUUACCAACAUUGAACGGAUCUGCCAGGCUUCUGUGAGCCCCUCUACAGUCCCACUGCUGAGCUUGGACCAGAGGGUAAGGGCAAAGG
rnacentral:lncRNA from 14 species